UGUUUAAUUUUAUUUUAAUCAAGUAGAAAUUGUGUAGAUUUGUUUUUGGGAAGUUAUGUCUAUUAUGGAAGGUUCUUAAUUGAAUUGUUUUGUGUCCAGUAAAAUUGCAGCACGUUUGAUCUUUUGUGCGCAUAAAUAUAUUCUGCAGUAAAUGGAAAGGCUGAUUGUUAAUUUUUGUUGAAUUAUCAUGUAGGCCUCUCUGGUUCUUCCUUAGAAAGAUUGGGGAAAAGAUUAUAAUAAACAUGUAACUUAUCAACUAGAAAAUCAUAUCGUAUAGUUUUUGCUGGAUUUUAAAUAUUUCUACUUUUGCUGAUCUUCACAGGUUUGAAAAUACGGAGGUUGCAA
rnacentral:misc_RNA from 1 species